GAUGAACGCUGGCUACAGGCUUAACACAUGCAAGUCGAGGGGAAACGACGGGGAAGCUUGCUUCCCCGGGCGUCGACCGGCGCACGGGUGAGUAACGCGUAUCCAACCUGCCUCUGACUGAGGGAUAACCCGUCGAAAGUCGGCCUAAUACCUCAUGGCAUCGUCUGCGGGCAUCCAACGACGAUUAAAGAUUUCAUCGGUCAGGGAUGGGGAUGCGUCUGAUUAGCUUGUUGGCGGGGUAACGGCUCACCAAGGCUACGAUCAGUAGGGGUUCUGAGAGGAAGGUCCCCCACAUUGGAACUGAGACACGGUCCAAACUCCUACGGGAGGCAGCAGUGAGGAAUAUUGGGCAAUGGGCGGGAGCCUGAACCAGCCAAGUAGCGUGCAGGAUGACGGCCCUAUGGGUUGUAAACUGCUUUUAUGCGGGGAUAAAGUGAGGGACGUGUCCUUCAUUGCAGGUACCGCAUGAAUAAGGACCGGCUAAUUCCGUG
rnacentral:rRNA from 1 species